AACGUAAUUCGGAUUUUGGGCUAAAGGGCAUCUAGGCGGCCAGGCAAGUCUGGGGUGAAAACUUGCGGCUCAACCGCAAGCCUGCCCUGGAAACUGUCUGGCUAGAGUGCUGGAGAGGUGGACGGAACUGCACGAGUAGAGGUGAAAUUCGUAGAUAUGUGCAGGAAUGCCGAUGAUGAAGAUAGUUCACUGGACGGUAACUGACGCUGAAGUGCGAAAGCUGGGGGAGCAAACAGGAUUAGAUACCCUGGUAGUCCCAGCCGUAAACGAUGAUUACUGGGUGUGGGCAUGAAGAGUGUCCGUGCCGAAGCUAAUGCGAUAAGUAAUCCGCCUGGGGAGUACGGCCGCAAGGCUGAAACUCAAGG
rnacentral:rRNA from 1 species